rnacentral:lncRNA from 1 species
CCUUAAUAAACUUACUUUUGCUUUGCACUGUGGACUUGCCCUGAAUUCUUUCUUGUGGGAGAUCGAAGAACUCUCUCUUGGUGUCCGGAUCGGGACUCCUUUCCGGUAACAUCACUAUGUUGCCCAGGCUGGUCUUGAACUCCUGGCCUCAAACCAUCCUAUAGAUUCGACCUCCGAAAGUGCUGGGGUUACAGGCAUAGCCACUGUGCCCAGCUGGAACAAUCUUUAUGAAGGUGAAUUAAAGCUGUGAGGCAUGAGACCAGAAAAGAUGCACCAGGAGUAAUGGAUUUUGGUGGAGAAUGAGCCACAGAAACGCGAUCAUGAGGCAAAUGGUGGGGCCUAACCCUGCCUUCUCAGUCCUCGGGAUGGGAGACCGGGCUAGAGAAGAGAAGGCUGGUGUGAAAACGCCGGGAGGGUGAGUUUUGGCAAAAAUGGGGGCAUCUUCAGUUUCACUUGGCACCAAAAGGAAAAUUCAAUGCACAUUCUUUCCUGGAUGUCCAAAAGCCUAAUGAGGUUUUGCUUUCUUUGUCUUCUCUUUCCGGAGCCCUCAUCGAGCCUCAUUCUCAGCCACAUCGUAAGGAUUUAGAGGCCCUAAGCACUGACGACGCUGUGGUGCCACAAAAAUAGACAAGCAGGGCAUGUGCGCUGAAGCUGGAAGAGGCUUCUUCCAUAUUUUCAUUGCAAAAUCAGAACUUUGUGCAGCUGCUGGCUGAUAAACCUGCUCCUGCUCUCUCUAAGGCAAGGCCAAGCACAGCUCCUUUCCCCUAGGGCAUGUGCCUUUGCACUGCCCGAGGCUGCUCCUUGGUCCCAAGUCCACAGUACUUUGCUUCUCAGGACAGUUUUCCAUUCUCAGACCCGCUUUGCAGAUAACCCUGCAUUUUACCGAGAUGUCAAAGCAGGAAGUGCUUGGCUGGAACAUCUGCCGACAGCCUCAUCUCUUUCUGCAAGAUCAUGAUGUUCUGCAUGCUCCUGUGGCCUCUUAUUUCACGUUGCUCUCCCUGCAAAUUUUGAAACAACUUUAAAGAUGAAUAAAAAGCAGCUCAGCAAGUGAAUCCCAGAUCCCGGUAAGAGAGUGUCUCCCCCAACUCACAUAGUGAGUGCACAUCAUCCCCAGAACCACCAUGAGAGUGAGCCUGGUAGCGGGUAGCACCCUGCCUGUGACGAAGCCAGCACACUAUGACGAGCAGCAGCUUCUAGACCCAUGGACCACGGGCACUGCCAACGCUCUCCCUCCGGGGACUCCUCCUGCCUCCCAUACAGGGCCAAACUCCGACGCCCACGAGCUCGCUCAGAAUUGGCUCAGGCUGCAAUCACUUCUCUUCUCCUACCUCCACACCAUUCCCUGAUGGUGGACAGCUUCUCCUUUGAGAACCACACCUGCCUUUUCAGACAAAAGGAGACACCACCCACCCUCCUGCUGAGGGCUGCUCCCCUGGGGCCUUCUCAGCACACCUCUCUCUCUCUAGGUCAAAAAACAAAUUUCACAUGCUGAAUUUUUACCUUUUUUAAAGUGACUCCGAAUUUUGGCACCAGCAAUUAAUUCAACACUUGAAUAAGAUUUGAAAACCUCACAACAAAUCACAAAUAUAUUAUGGGUCCUGUU